rnacentral:siRNA from 1 species
UAGCCAAAGAUGUUUCAGAUA